CCCACCCCUACCUACCACUAAACCGUGAAACAGAAAAAGGGAUUAAUGAAAACCAUGAGAAACCCUUCCGUUAGGGUUAUGAGAGGAACUCUUCUAUUUCUCUUCGAAGACGACGCACUAAUGCUGGCCGGAAGAAGAUCAGUGCACGAUACCACUGUGGCUGGUCAAGCGCGUGAAGCGAAAAGGGAAAACGGUAGUGAAAGAGAGAAACUCGAAGGAGAGAAGAGGGUCACCGUUGGAAAUUGUUUUUGACAGUGACCCACGGUGAUUCUUGUGGAGAUUUGUUUGGGGAAAGAAGAAGAAGCCAACACAACCGUUGAAAAUCAUUUCCGAUGGCGGUGACUCAAGGUGGUUCUUGCAUUUUGGCCACGGACUCACGGAGCACAUCAGAGAGAUGACAGAGUGAGUGAGAGGGAAAAGAGAAAAAAGAAAAAAAAAUGGAAGAACGCACUGCAGCCGCUAGAAAUCGGCACAUACAACAAAUUGUUGAGGGUAAGGUUGCUUUGUAACAAUUGUAGCAGAGUAGUUGGGGUCACCAAAUGGUAUCCAAAGGAGGCAGAGGAAGAUUUUGUUUUCCUUUUCUGUUUCUUCUCUUUUUUCAUUUUUUUGUUUAAUUUUUUAUGUAUUUUGAUUUAUAGAUGAAGAUAAAAUUUGGAGUUGACAAAUAUAAAUAUAAAUAUUAGUAAUUAUAAAUCAAAUCUUUAGAAUUUAUAAAAAUGAGAGACCGAAAGUUAUCUUUAUUUAAAGUUUUUUUUCGUGUUUCUAUAUGAAUUUGACAACUAAGCAUUUGGCGUUAGUUUUAUUUUCAUUUAAUAUUUUGACUUAAUAUUUUGACUGAAUAUUUAUAACGAUUAUGAAUUAUGUAUUUUAAAUAGAGAAGUACUAAUUCAUACAAUACAUAUAUGAAGUAAUUAAUUUUGUCGUAUUUCUCAAGAGUCUCCUCUUUAUUAACUAAUUAACACAUAUAUCAUGGGUCUAAUGCUUCUCAAGAGGUUCAGCUUCCUUUUCCUCUUGAUUUCUGUAACGCUUCUAUCUGUUUUUUCCGCAGUUGGUCGAUCAAAGCUAAUCAAUAACGUUGAAGAUAAUAAAGAAGACAUGAUCAGUAUUGAAGAGAGGGUUCUAAGGGCUAACACACAAGACUAUGGAAUAUAUGAUCCUCCACCAUAUUAUUCUAAGCCUCCUGCGAAAGGCGUGCCCUCAUUUGGUCCAAAACUCCCUCAUCCUCCUCCUCGUAAAGGCUCAUCUACAAAUCGUUUACAUCAACCAUCGAAAGAAAUAUAAAAUGUAAUUCACAUUUUUAAAUUAAUAAUAUCAAGCAUAUGCAUG